AUUGAACGCUGGCGGCAGGCCUAACACAUGCAAGUCGAACGAGUGGCGGACGGGUGAGUAAUGUCUGGGAAACUGCCUGAUGGAGGGGGAUAACUACUGGAAACGGUAGCUAAUACCGCAUACCAUCGGAUGUGCCCAGAUGGGAUUAGCGAGUAGGUGGGGUAAAGGCUCACCUAGGCGACGAUCCCUAGUUGGUCUGAAAGGAGGACCAGCCACAUGUGAACUGAGACACGGUCCAGACUCCUACGGGAGUCAGCAGUGGGGAAUAUUGCACAAUGGGCGCAAGCCUGAUGCAGCUAUGCCGCGUGUAUGAAGAAGGCCUUCGGGUUGUAAAGUACUUUCAUCGGGGAGGCGUUACCCGCAGAAGAAGCAACGGCUAACUCCGUGCCAGCCGCCGCGGUAAUAC
rnacentral:rRNA from 1 species